rnacentral:lncRNA from 1 species
AAUUAUUAUUCACUUCAUGUAAAUUAAAAAUAGUUUUUUCUCUCUCUUAAUGGAAAUAAUUGAUAGAAAUAAUUAGUAUUUAAGUAUAGUAAAGAAAGAGUAAAAGUAUUAUUGGAGGAGAUAAUAAAAAAAUAAUUUUUUAAAAGUAAGAAAACCCAUAUUUUAUUAAAAAUUAUAAUAAAAGUAGAAAGAAUAAUUGAAAAUGCUUUAAGCAGUGGCUCAACUAUAAAAAAGUAUAUAUCUAGUCCAUUAGGGACAAAUCACAUGAGUACUCUUGAUCUAGAUUAUUACUCUCAAAUAUCGUAUCUUAUUCAUGACUUAUUCAUUGCAUUCAUUCUAUCGAGAGACAUCUAUUAUUACUCUAUCAAGAGUUAUCAUCGAGGAGCAUACAUCAUUACUCCAUCAAAAGCCACUUUACGCAAGACUGCGUAUGCCUUACUCCAUCGAAAGUCACUUUACAUUUUUCUUGCUCCAUCGGGAGUUUCUUACAAGCUCAUUACAUCGCUGUAUUGAACCAGGAGAGUCUUACCCAUAAAUCAUUAACUAUUGAUUCUGAUACCACUUAUUGGGGAGAGAAUCCGCUUCAAGGGUUCGUGCGCAUACAUAAGCCCAAUCCGUUAGUAAAAUCACAACAUUUCACAUUCACAGCACAUUAUUUAGAACUCAUAUCCUUUAACAUGUGAUUCCAUCUAAUGUAUAUCAAAAGUUAAUUAUUUUUUUAUUUAUCCAAUAUGCUGAUUUAUUCUUCAUACAUAUCUUCAACAUAAAUGUAUAAAUAUUUGUAAAAAGUGGAGGGUGUUAAUUACCAAUUAGUGACACAAUCAAAUGUGGAAUUAAAAAUUAUGUAGCGGUAUGAAUAAAAUUGUAUAUUGAAUUAUAUUAUAGUGUCCAAAUAAGUAAAAGUAGUGCUUUUAUAAGUCUUUGUGUCAAGUGUGUUGUGCAAAAGCAUCCGAAACAAACUCGACCUAAAGAAGGGUACAAAUAUGGAGCAAAAUAAUUAAACAAAUUUACAAUGCGAAAACAAAUAAAUAAAAGAGAAUAUCAAAAUGAAAACAAAAGAUGUCAAGUUUUACAUAGUUCGACAAUGUGAUUACGUCCACGGGUAGUCAACCGAGUAAAGGCUUCCACGUGUAAAUCAAACGAAUAUUCCGAAAAUCUAUAAAAGAGAGUUUUAUAAACAAAUCCUUUCUUAAAAGCCUCAUCAAAGCCAAAAUAUAAAUUCUCUGAAACCUAAUUUUAACCAAAUAAAAAACUCUCUCUCAUGCAAAGGGAUCGAAAAUCUAACCAAAUCCCCCCAAAGGGGCACCAAAUGAAAUACAAAGCUUUUUCAAAUACCCAAAGGUUACCUAAGUCUUUACUAGGGGCUCCCAAACAAAUUAAGAAGUUCUUCCUAAAAUUUGAAGGUUACCAAGUCCCCACUAUUGGCUCUCAACAAAACUCUGAAGAAGCCCACCAAGUCCCCACUAUUGUCCAGCUUUGAGAGAGAGAGAGAGCGCAUUAAUGCAACUUCGUUUUUCCACUCUGAUUAUGCUUUAUAUAUAGGUCAGCUUUUACUUGCAAAUCUAGGUAGCUGUUUUUUGAGUUUUCUUCUCACCACGCCCUAAAAUCAUCAAUAGAUCUUUGUUUGGAAAGUCGCAUUCCUAUUUAUCCUAACAUUGGGCAUUCCGUUGUGUUUGGUUGAGUCACCCUUUGACCUUGAAUGGUCUAUGUUGGCCAUUCAUUUGGUUCAUGGGUUUUUAUUGUUGCCCAUAUAUGCUUAACCAGUGCUCUAGCCAGUGGCCAAGAUGUUUAUGUGAUGGUAGCUUCAGUUUUGGAUGACCACAUGCACUGUAUCCAAUGGGUGGUUGGCUAUUUUGGGCAUGCAAAUUCUUCCUAGAUGGGCCAUGGGUUUUUCCCAUCACUUGCGUGGAAUGGUAAAAACAAUUUGGUCAUGCAUUGUAUCCAAUGGGUGGUUGGCUAUUUUGGGCAUGCAAAUUCUUCCUAGAUGGGCCAUGGUUUUUUCCCAUCACUUGCGUGGAAUGGUAAAAACAAUUUGGUCAUGCAUUGUAUCCAAUGGGUGGUUGGCUAUUUUGGGCAUGCAAAUUCUUCCUAGAUGGGCCAUGGUUUUUUCCCAUCACUUGCGUGGAAUGGUAAAAACAAUUUUUUUAUAUUUGGAAUGCAAUAAUUUUCUCUUACUUAGGUGAAUGAAUAUUAUCUACCUUUAAUUGGCACCGAAAAUACUCUAGGUCAUGUACUGCUUUGAACGAGACCAAUUCUAUUAUGUCAAAUAAUUCUUAUUCCACCAAUCAAGAGGUCCAUGGACCCACUUUGUUGGAAAUUAGAGAUAAUGAUAAAGUCUAUUAUAUCUCUUAGUAUUGGAAUACUGAGAUUGUGUUUGAAAAUAAUGACUAUUACUUUAUAAAUAUGGUUGUAUUACGUAACUAUUUGAGUGACUAAAAUAGUUUUAUUGGUUUCUUUCAUUGUCAUAGGUGCCCCAUCAUAAUUGAACCACGUAUAUCUC